GAUGAACGCUGGCGGCGUGCCUAAUACAUGCAAGUCGAGCGAACAGACGAGGAGCUUGCUCCUCUGACGUUAGCGGCGGACGGGUGAGUAACACGUGGAUAACCUACCUAUAAGACUGGGAUAACUUCGGGAAACCGGAGCUAAUACCGGAUAAUAUAUUGAGCCGCAUGGUUCAAUAGUGAAAGACGGUUUUGCUGUCACUUAUAGAUGGAUCCGCGCCGCAUUAGCUAGUUGGUAAGGUAACGGCUUACCAAGGCAACGAUGCGUAGCCGACCUGAGAGGGCGACCGGCCACACUGGAACUGAGACACGGUCCAGACUCCUACGGGAGGCAGCAGUAGGGAAUCUUCCGCAAUGGGCGAAAGCUUGACGGAGCAACGCCGCGUGAGUGAUGAAGGUCUUCGGAUCGUAAAACUCUGUUAUUAGGGAAGAACAAAUGUGUAAGUAACUAUGCACGUCUUGACGGUACCUAAUCAGAAAGCCACGGCUAACUACGUG
rnacentral:rRNA from 1 species